UACGGGGGGGGGCAAGCGUUGUUCGGAAUUACUGGGCGUAAAGGGCUCGUAGGUGGCCAACUAAGUCAGACGUGAAAUCCCUCGGCUUAACCGGGGAACUGCGUCUGAUACUGGAUGGCUUGAGAUUGGGAGAGGGAUGCGGAAUUCCAGGUGUAGCGGUGAAAUGCGUAGAUAUCUGGAGGAAUACCGGUGGCGAAGGCGGGUCUCUGGGCCGUAACUGACGCUGAGGAGCGAAAGCGUGGGGAGCGAACAGG
rnacentral:rRNA from 1 species